rnacentral:rRNA from 1 species
GAUGAACGCUGGCGGCGUGCCUAAUACAUGCAAGUAGAACGCUGAAGGAAGGAGCUUGCUCUUUCCGGAUGAGUUGCGAACGGGUGAGUAACGCGUAGGUAACCUGCCUGGUAGCGGGGGAUAACUAUUGGAAACGAUAGCUAAUACCGCAUAACAGUACAUAUUGCAUGAUAUCUGCUUGAAAGGGGCAAUUGCUCCACUACCAGAUGGACCUGCGUUGUAUUAGCUAGUUGGUGAGGUAACGGCUCACCAAGGCGACGAUACAUAGCCGACCUGAGAGGGUGAUCGGCCACACUGGGACUGAGACACGGCCCAGACUCCUACGGGAGGCAGCAGUAGGGAAUCUUCGGCAAUGGACGGAAGUCUGACCGAGCAACGCCGCGUGAGGGAAGAAGGUUUUCGGAUCGUAAAGCUCUGUUGUAAGAGAAGAACGAGUGUGAGAGUGGAAAGUUCACACUGUGACGGUAUCUUACCAGAAAGGGACGGCUAACUACGUG